AAAACUUUCAACAACGGAUCUCUUGGCUCUGGCAUCGAUGAAGAGCGCAGCGAAAUGCGAUACGUAAUGUGAAUUGCAGAAUCCAGUGAAUCAUCGAAUCUUUGAGCGCACAUUGCGCCCGCCAGCAUUCUGGCGGGCAUGCCUGUUCGAGCGUC
rnacentral:rRNA from 1 species